rnacentral:rRNA from 1 species
GUGAGGAAUAUUGCACAAUGGGGGAAACCCUGAUGCAGCGACGCCGCGUGGGUGAUGAAGGUUUUCGGAUCGUAAAACCCUUUUCUGUGUGACGAGAGAGGACGGUAGCACAGGAAUAAGUGUCGGCUAACUACGUGCCAGCAGCCGCGGUAAAACGUAGGACACGAGCGUUAUCCGGAAUUACUGGGCGUAAAGGGCGUGCAGGCGGUCUGAUAAGUUAGGCGUGAAAGCUCUCGGCUAAACCGGGAGAGGUCGUCUGAUACUGUCAGACUAGAGUAUGGUAGAGGCGUGUAGAAUUCCGCGUGUAGUGGUGAAAUGCGUAGAGAUGCGGAGGAAUACCAGUGGCGAAGGCGGCACGCUGGGCCAUAACUGACGCUGAGACGCGAAAGCAUGGGUAGCGAACGGGAUUAGAUACCCUGGUAGUCC